rnacentral:rRNA from 1 species
UAGGGAAUAUUGGACAAUGGGCGAAAGCCUGAUCCAGCAACGCCGCGUGCGCGAUGAAGGCCUUCGGGUUGUAAAGCGCUUUUCGGGGGGAUGAGGAAGGACAGUACCCCCGGAAUAAGUCUCGGCUAACUACGUGCCAGCAGCCGCGGUAAAACGUAGGAGGCAAGCGUUAUCCGGAUUUACUGGGCGUAAAGCGCGUGCAGGCGGUUCGGUAAGUCGGACGUGAAAGCUCCUGGCUCAACUGGGAGAGGCCGUUCGAUACUACCGAACUAGAGGGCAGGAGAGGGAGGUGGAAUUCCGGGUGUAGCGGUGAAAUGCGUAGAUAUCCGGAGGAACACCAGUGGCGAAGGCGGCCUCCUAGUCUGCCCCUGACGCUCAGACGCGAAAGCUAGGGGAGCGAACGGGAUUAGAAACCCCGGUAGUCCUAGCUGUAAACGAUGCGGACUUGGUGUGGGUGGCUUAAACUCCAUCCGUGCCGUAGCUAACGCGAUAAGUCCGCCGCCUGGGGACUACGACCGCAAGGUUA